ACAUAAGAGUUUGAUCCUGGCUCAGAUUGAACGCUGGCGGCAUGCUUUACACAUGCAAGUCGGACGGCAGCACAGAGAAGCUUGCUUCUUGGGUGGCGAGUGGCGAACGGGUGAGUAACAUAUCGGAACGUACCGAGUAGUGGGGGAUAACUGAUCGAAAGAUCAGCUAAUACCGCAUACGUCUUGAGAGGGAAAGCAGGGGACCUUCGGACCUUGCGCUAUUCGAGCGGCCGAUAUCUGAUUAGCUAGUUGGUGGGGUAAAGGCCUACCAAGGCGACGAUCAGUAGCGGGUCUGAGAGGAUGAUCCGCCACACUGGGACUGAGACACGGCCCAGACUCCUACGGGAGGCAGCAGUGGGGAAUUUUGGACAAUGGGCGCAAGCCUGAUCCAGCCAUGCCGCGUGUCUGAAGAAGGCCUUCGGGUUGUAAAGGACUUUU
rnacentral:rRNA from 1 species